rnacentral:rRNA from 1 species
UACGAAUUGGGCUAGCGUUGUUCGGAAUCACUGGGCGUAAAGGGCGCGUAGGCGGCUUUAUAAGUCGGGGGUGAAAGCCUGUGGCUCAACCACAGAAUUGCCUUCGAUACUGUAGAGCUUGAGACCGGAAGAGGUAAGUGGAACUGCGAGUGUAGAGGUGAAAUUCGUAGAUAUUCGCAAGAACACCAGUGGCGAAGGCGGCUUAAUGGUCCGGUUCUGACGCUGAGGCGCGAAAGCGUGGGGAGCAAACAGG